GGUGGGGUCCCAACCUUGAAAGGAAGCGUCAGUGAGCUGUGCCUUGGGCUUCUAGGGAAUGAAACGCCGAUCUGGAUUUAUGGGAUUUUCCAGUUGGAAAAGCUCUUGAACAACUCCAUCCCUUGAGUUCUUACCCUAUAUUCCACCUGAAAAGAAGAGUCAUGAUACACACUGUAAUUGACCAACUGGACUACACAAUCCUUGAGGGUUGGAAGAGUAUUUUAUACUUCAUGCUUUUUCACGUGCCCUUACAUAUAGUGGGAGGGCUCACCAAGUAUGAAUGAUGAACUAUAUUCUCACAGUUAGGAAAAGAGCAAAAGGCACAUGAGAGACUUCUGCAUUUCCUGAAAGACCUGAGAAUUCUGGCACAUGUAGGGUGGGGUGGGGAGCUGCCAAAGCAAUCUUAUACAGGGCUCUGAUGCACAAUUCAUGAGCCAAACAUACGAAGCCUUGGAAGACUUCCACAGGCAAUAUUCACCAUGACACUACAUACUUCCUCCAGAACUUUCCAGGAUCCAUAAAACAAGAGCCCUGAAGGUUAUUUUUAUUGAUAACAGCAGACGCUGCCUGUGCUCUGCCUAUCACCUCAAGGUACUGGCCAUCACAGUGUAUGCCAGAGCAUCUUCCUGCAACUGUCCAUUUGCGGGCUUCAGCCAGAAGUGCAAGUGCAGCCCUCAGCUGCUGACAUUUGAAUGGGAGGAAAAAUCCCCAGUCUUCCUUGCUCUCCUUGGAUGGGAUGACUCUGAGGUGUGUUCUGUGCUAUCAUCCAUAGCUCCCCAGUGAUACUGACCCCCAGGAAUUCACAGGGUUCACCUCCUCAAUGACAGUCUCUUGGGUCACUCCAAAAUAAACUACCUGGACUCAAA